UAAUGAAACACUUUCCAUCUCUCUUCCUAGCAGAUUCAAGCCCCAGUAAGACAACAGCCAAAGGUUCAGACAACCCCACCUCCUGCCGUCCAGGGGCAGAAAGUUGGAUCUCUCACUCCACCCUCGUCCCCCAAAACCCAACGUGCUGGGCACAGGCGUAUUCUCAGUGACGUAACCCACAGUGCAGUCUUUGGGGUCCCUGCCAGCAAAUCAACCCAGCUGCUCCAGGCAGCUGCAGCUGAGGCCAGUCUCAAUAAGUCCAAGUCUGCAACCACCACUCCUUCAGGCUCUCCUCGGACCUCUCAACAAAACGUUUAUAAUCCUUCAGAAGGGUCUACGUGGAAUCCCUUCGAUGACGAUAAUUUCUCCAAACUCACAGCUGAAGAACUGCUAAACAAGGACUUUGCCAAGCUGGGGGAAGGCAAACAUCCCGAGAAGCUUGGAGGCUCAGCUGAGAGUUUGAUCCCAGGCUUUCAAUCAACCCAAGGUGAUGCUUUUGCUACGACCUCAUUUUCUGCUGGAACUGCUGAAAAAAGGAAGGGUGGGCAGACUGUGGACUCUGGCCUCCCGCUUCUAAGCGUGUCUGAUCCUUUCAUUCCUCUUCAAGUACCUGAUGCACCAGAAAAACUAAUUGAGGGACUCAAAUCUCCUGACACUUCUCUUCUGCUCCCUGACCUCUUGCCUAUGACAGAUCCUUUUGGUAGCACUUCCGAUGCUGUAAUUGAAAAAGCUGAUGUUGCUGUUGAGAGUCUCAUACCAGGACUGGAGCCCCCAGUUCCCCAGCGCCUCCCAUCUCAGACGGAAUCUGUGACCUCGAAUCGCACAGAUUCUCUCACCGGGGAAGAUUCCCUGCUUGAUUGCUCUCUGCUCUCUAACCCUACUACUGACCUUCUGGAAGAGUUUGCCCCCACAGCAAUCUCUGCUCCAGUCCAUAAAGGUAAAUGCUUUCUUCUUCUCAGGCCCACGUGUGUCCUUAGAGGGGAAAGAACUAAACAACUUUUGAAAGUUUUUCUUAUCAAAAGUCUUUACUAGUGAAGUUUUAAAACUACCUCCUUAUAUGGAAAACUUGAGUAUCUCCUAGAUACUGUGUUAUAAUACCUCUCAGUGAGAAUAUUUACUAAGACUUAGACGACAGGCCAGUUGUGGUAGCUCAGGCCUGCAAUCCCAGCACUUUGGGAGGCUGAGGCGGGAGGAUCACUUGAGCCUAGGAAUUUGAGACCAGCCUGGACAACAUACGGAGUCUCAGUCUCUACAAAAAAAUUUUUUAAUUAGCCAGCCAUGGCAGCAUGCACCGGUGGUACCAGCUUCUCGGGAGACUGAGGUGAGAUGAUUGCUUGAGGCCCAGAGGGCAAAGCUGCAGUGAGCCAUGAUCGCCCCACUGCACUACAGCCUGGGCAGCAGAGCAAAACUCUGUCUUAAAAAAAAAAAAA
rnacentral:sRNA from 1 species